CACACAACCCACCCCCGUCGUUGCUGAGCAACCGGUCGGCCUGACCAGCCUCCUCAGCCCCUCCAGGCAGCUCUACUGACUUCCACACAGUGGGAGGAAGCUUCCGUCGCCGGCUCGGGGGGGCUGAGGGAAGAGAUCACCUUCACCAGCUCCGAUCUUUGGCCUUGCGGGGUCGUGGGAGGGCUUGACAAGGCACGAGCAGGUGAUGGAAAAGCAAAGGAGGAUCUGAGGCGUUUGGCCCAGCGCCCCUUCCGUCGGGGGCGGGGCCGUGAGAUGCCCCGCCCACCGCGCGGCCUAGGCCCAUACAUGGAAGUAGCCACCUGGCCAGGUUAUGAGGAUGGCAUCGAAUCACCUGGAGAGCUUGUUCAAAGUCAGAUUUCUGAGUUUCCCUCCACAUCUGUGAUGAAGCCUGAGAAUUUGUAUUUCAAACAGUCCCCUGAUGUAGUCCCCCUCAGUAGUACUUUGGAUUGAUUGAUUUAUGUGCAAGAAAAGAAAUGGGUGUACCAGGGACUCUGGCGGCUGCAAAAUCCAGACACAUACACCAUCUGGCUUUAUGUGGGCAUUGGUGAAUUGAACUCCGGCUGACAGGGUUUGCAAGCAAGUGCCUUCAACCACCAAACCAUUAAACCCAGAAAGAGUACUUUGGCAGAUGAAAAGAACUCACAUCCACUGCAGCUGGAAUCCUUUGGGAUGUUAUUCUUUCCUGCCUAGGACUCAAUGACUCCUCUAAAUGAGACUUCUUUUCUGUCCAAAAUUGAAGCAUGCUUAUUGAAGAACACAUGUCUGCCUGCUCCAGCUUCUCAUGUGUGUGGUUUAUCUUCCAUCUGCUCCCACUUCUGUCCAGACAUAAGAAUCUGAUCCUGACCUUUGUAAGAUUUUCUGUGGCUUCCUCUAGUAUCUUCAGAAAGUCCAUCUAACCCUUUGGCCUAGAGCCUUCUGCUGUCUUUCCUCCCCUGUCUCCCACAACUUUCAGAGUGCACAGUGUUCCUCCCAGCCUGAACUUCUCACUGUGGACCUUUCCAACAGCCAUCAUCGUGGGUGUGCCCAUUACUCAGCCCCCAGUGUUCUGUCACCAGCCUGCCUGAAGACUUCUCUGUUUCUCAGGGAGUCAUUACUAUUCCCUUCUGUAAUUCUACACUUCAUCACUUUUCAAGUCUUUAUAAGUAUCUAAACUACCCAAGAGUCAUGUUAAAAUGCAGAUUAGGCAGUUUAGGGUUCUCAAGUUCUGAUAACAGCAGCUCUUCAGGGGACACUUUGAAUAUGGAGCAUUACUGGGCUUUGCCUGCUGUUGAUGUAGCUCUGAAUUGGUUUCUAUACAUUUGCCACUAAGGCCAGGUGAGACUGGGAGUCCCUUAAGGACUGGAUACUUAGGAUGCACUUUACAUGAAGUGGCCCAGCCUCUGAGCAUGCCUGAUAUUCAGUAAAUGUUCACUAAGUGUCUGAAGGUGUUUUAAUAUUUUGUCAGGCAGAUUUCUCUGUAGCCUAGAAUGAGGCUCCAGUUUACUAAGGUCCCAUUCAACUUUAGCCCUACAUUUACACACACACUUGCUUAGACAUUUUUAUACCUUCUCAUCCCACAGAAGGAUACAGGUGCAGCUGAAUGCUAUUAUUGACCAAAUAUUAAAAUCAGUUCCCAAUGUGAUGCUGUUUAGAGGUGGGUCUUUAGCAGGUAAUGAGAUUGUGAGAUCAGAGCCCCCAUGAAUAUGAGAAGAUAGUCAUCGAUGGGCCAGGAGAUGAUCCCUCACCAAGCACUGAAUAUGCAGAUCCCUAGAUCUUGGGUUUUCCUGGCCUCCAUAAUUACGAGAAGUAAAUUUCUGUUGUCAGUAAGUAAUCCAGUUAAUGGCAUGUCAUUCUGUUAUAGCAACUGAAAAAGACUAGAGUAUAUAAGGUCUCCUUAAAGAGAAGGUGGGUGGCCGGACAUGGUGGUGCACGCCUUUAAUCCCAGCACUCAGGCAGACAGGUAGGAGGAUCAUUGUGAGUUCAUGGCCAGUUUGGGACUACAGAUUGAGUUUCAGGUCAGCCUGCUAGAAUGAGACCCUACCUCAAAACAAACAAAAGAGAUUAGGUGUGUUCCAUUUCUCACUUAGAAAAUGUUUUGUAUACUUAAUCAAUCUGUGCGUGAUUUCAUUUAAACUCAUUAAUUUGAGUAGCAGGGAAGAAUAAAUUAUACAUUAAUGAGACUGCAGACAGUCGUGGGUUAAUAGAAGAAAGCUCUUUUGUCAGAAUAUAACAGAAAAAAAAAAAAAACUCUCCCACAAAUUCAUGUCUCUCUUAUUCCCUGCUUUUAUGUCUUUAGUCUUGAAAAAAAAAAUUUUGCAGGGGGGCUGAUCUCAAGGUAGGGUCCAGGCUGACCUGGAAUUCACUAUAUAGUCUCAGGCUAGCCUCAAGUUCAUAGUGAUCCUCCUACCUCUGCCUCCCAAGUGCUGGGAUUAAAGGUGUGUGCCACCAUGCCCAGACUCCCAAAAUUUUUAAUCAUAUAAGCAAGAUGUGGAUUCUAACAGUGCAACACAGGAAGCCUCCUUGAGCACCUGUUGUCCUUUCCCAUUGUCUCAGUACCCUCCUCAGAGGCCCUACAGAAACAUCCACCUGGCAAAUGUGUUUACUUGCAUUGGUGUUCUAUGUAAUGGGUUUGUGUUGGGUGUGUAAUGUCCUGUAGCUUGCUUUCCUGAAAUUACUGAUUGCCUUGGAGAGCUUUACUAAUAAAGCUAUUAUAAAGCA